rnacentral:rRNA from 1 species
UACGUAGGGUGCAAGCGUUGUCCGGAAUUAUUGGGCGUAAAGAGCUCGUAGGCGGUCUGUCGCGUCUGCUGUGAAAACUCGGGGCUUAACCCCGGGCCUGCAGUGGGUACGGGCAGACUAGAGUGCGGUAGGGGAGACUGGAAUUCCUGGUGUAGCGGUGAAAUGCGCAGAUAUCAGGAGGAACACCGGUGGCGAAGGCGGUUCUCUGGGCAUGUCCUGACGCUGAGGAGCGAAAGUGUGGGAGCGAACAGG